CUCCUCCCGCCCCCCCGCGGCUGGAGAGUGGACGCAGUGGGGGGUGGGGUGGGC
ensembl:miRNA